UCUUGUUGUCCGUGAAGACCUGCUUCUGCAGUCGGAAUCUGUGUGUGCCGUUCUCACAGCCCUUCGGCUUCGGGGAGAGGAAAGCACGGCAGCAGGACGCUCUGGCCCCAGGGCCCUUGCACAUGGCAGCCGCGGCCCCGGCGGAGAGCAAGAGGAGACCCUGCCCUGGGGUUGCCACCUUGAGUGACUGGCGGUGAGAGGAGCCCUGCCCUGAGCAGAGGACGAGGCCCCACCCGGGAGAACUGGGCUGAACAGAACCAACCCUUCAUCGGUUGAGGAAGAGAAGAAAAGGGACCGUGGACUCUAGACCUCAGGCCGGACGCACCCGGGGGCCCCUGUUCACGAGCCAAGAGGACACACACUGUUCUCUGGGUGACUAAUGC